rnacentral:rRNA from 1 species
AGAGUUUGAUCCUGGCUCAGAAUAAACGCUGGCGGCGUGCCUAACACAUGCAAGUCGAGCGAGAAAGUCCUUCGGGAUGAGUACAGCGGCGGACGGGUGAGUAAUACGUGAGAAUCUGCCUUUUAGUGGAGAAUACCUUCGAGAAAUUGAAGUUAAUACUGCAUAAGUCCUUAGGGAGAAAGAUGGCCCCUUUGCUGUCGCUAAAAGAUGAGUUCACGCACUAUCAGCUAGUUGGUGGGGUAAAGGCCUACCAAGGCUAUGACGGUUAGCCGGCCUGAGAGGGUGUACGGCCACACUGGAACUUAGACACGGUCCAGACUCCUACGGGAGGCAGCAGUGGGGAAUAUUGCGCAAUGGGCGAAAGCCUGACGCAGCGACGCCGCGUGGAGGAUGAAGGUCUUAGGAUUGUAAACUUCUGUUAAG